GCCAAAGGCACUACCUCAACAAGUACUCCUUUCGCCUGAGGUACUCUCUCAACCUCAAGAGUAGGGGGUUAGUAUUGAGAUAAUUAUUAUGAUGCCUCAGAUUCAUGAAUGGUCGAAUUACAUUCAAGUUGUGCUAAACUUCUCUAAAUAUAUUCACUUCAAUCGAAGUUGUCCUAAGUAUAUCUAUGUUAAAGUUGAGCAACCUAGAACCUAACUCAUGCUAAGUUGAGUAUUGAGUAUUUUCUCAUGCUGAUCUGAGUACUUAUUUAUGUUGUUCUCUACAAGUCGAGCAAAAUUCACAUAGUCCAC
rnacentral:lncRNA from 1 species